rnacentral:tRNA from 1 species
GCGGACGUGGCGGAACCGGUAGACGCACGAGACUUAAAAUCUUGCGCCCGUAAGGGCUUAGGGGUUCGAUCCCCCUCGUCCGCA